UGAGCUACUCAUACUCCUCUGAUCACUUCACGAGUUAUAUUACAUACGGAGGCUACUUCAGCGUCCAGCUGGAUAGAUGAAACUCGCCACUUCCUGUGUCCAAGUGAGGGCUGACCCAUGUCCAAGAUGUCUUCAACCACCACUUUUACCCAGUAAAAUUGGUCUAAAACCGCCACUAAUCCUGGAUGUGCUGCACCAUGUUUGAGACUUCUGGUUCACGUUUGAGAGCGCCGCUGAAUGUCCCAGCAGAGGUUGCCAGUGCUCUGCUUCCAGCCUAGAAGUGGUGACUUAUAUCCCCAAAACGCUGCCAGCUGUGUCCACCUGUUCUUUCAUCGUUUUUGCAAGCACAAUGAGGACUCGCCAAGGUUCUUUAAGCAGGCUGUCACUGGUGUUUCACUGAACCCUCAGCCACUUCAUCAUCUCUCCUUUAAUUGGACCUGAGAGGGGCAUCAUGUUGCCUUUUCUGGGAAGCCACUGUUGCAAUAGAAAAAACUGACAGCUGUAACUGCUGA